ACAUUAAAAACCAAAUCAAAUGCUAUGACGGGGCUACCUAGCUUGAUGGUCCUGCUCUGGCCUUAAAAGGAGGGAAAGGUCUCCCUGCUUGCAACGGAAGUAGGGAUCUCUGAUAGCCCUGCCAUCGCAAAUAAACAUCCCUACAACACCAAUUAUAGUGGGGGAAGGUGAACCUCCUCCCUCUUGGGAUCCGGUACCAACUCCGAAAGAGGUGGGGGACAAAAGAAGAAACGCCAUACAUCAGAUGAGACAGGCGAGGUUAAGGUUCGACGACUCCUCGAGGGACAUGUCAAGAACUGUCAAGUUACAUUUUGGAUGGAACCACACAUCUUUAGAGAGCUGGCAACUUAUCUUAGAAGGAGAAAGAUCGUUGUUGAUACAAGGAUCACGGUCGAGGAGAAGUUAGCAUUCUUCUUAUACAUGCUAAGUCGCAACGCCUCAUAUCAGGAUUUCCAAGUGUACUUUGGUCAUAGUAAUGACACCUUCCAUCAUCACAUCAACCACUUCUUUAAGAAGGUCAUUCCUGUUCUCUCUCAUCGUUUCAUUCAUCCUCCUGAUCCUAAUCAAGUGCAUCAAAAAAUACAAGAUAAUCCUAGAUUCUAUCCAUUCUUUAAGAAUUGUAUCGGUGCCAUUGAUGGAACUCAUAUUCCUAUUUCUAUA